AUCGGAUGGAUACGUCAUCGACGGCCCACUCACCCUUGCCGGCGAAAAGGUGCUACAUCCCAACUCUGACCAGAUGCAGCCGGGCAUUGCACUGCAGGAACAGAUUCUGGAACCCGCUGGAGGAAGAGCCUGUGGAACUCCCAGAGACAACUUUCUUCUCUCCAUGCAUUAUGAAGAGUCCACGCCGCACCAGCACUCCCUGCCUUCUAAGUGGGUGGUGGCCCACUGUACGUGAGCAUGAGGUGGAAGGAUCUGGCGUAGUUGUUUUUCUGGAGGCAGGAGAGCUUCAACGAGAGCUCCGACGGGUACAGAGGAAAGGGGCUGGCCAGGAACAGCAGCAGCAGGAUGGCGCUGAGGAUCAUCACCGUCCUGUUCUAUAUGGCAGGGAGUCUGGGGGGCUUCUGGGUUGGGAGGCAGGAGAUGAUUGAAGGCUCUUGUAGGCUGGAUCCGGAAGGGGAAGCAAAUGGUUCAGAUUCGUAAAUCUGGUUGUUGGUGUCAGUAAAUGAGAGCAACGCAGCUGCAAACUGGAUUGUUUGCAUCACAUGAUGCGGCUAGCUGUGGGAAAGAAUAUCCCCGGAAGUUCAAAGGCUUCUCAGAGCUCUGUGAAGAGUGUAAUUUGAGACCUUCCGUUUGCGUAUGUAAAGGAAGUUUGUCAUUCUUGCUAGAUGAAGUUUGAAGUGGUCAGACAUGAUUUCUGUAGUGCUGUAAAGUCAGAAAUAAAAGGAUGUAAAUAG